rnacentral:rRNA from 1 species
GAUGAACGCUGGCGGCGUGCCUAAUACAUGCAAGUCGAGCGAACGGACGAGAAGCUUGCUUCUCUGAUGUUAGCGGCGGACGGGUGAGUAACACGUGGAUAACCUACCUAUAAGACUGGGAUAACUUCGGGAAGCCGGAGCUAAUACCGGAUGAUAUUUUGAACCGCAUGGUUCAAAAGUGAAAGACGGUCUUGCUGUCACUUAUAGAUGGAUCCGCGCUGCAUUAGCUAGUUGGUAAGGUAACGGCUUACCAAGGCAACGAUGCAUAGCCGACCUGAGAGGGUGAUCGGCCACACUGGAACUGAGAAACGGUCCAGACUCCUACGGGAGGCAGCAGUAGGGAAUCUUCCGCAAUGGGCGAAAGCCUGACGGAGCAACGCCGCGUGAGUGAUGAAGGUCUUCGGAUCGUAAAACUCUGUUAUUAGGGAAGAACAUAUGUGUAAGUAACUGUGCACAUCUUGACGGUACCUAAUCAGAAAGCCACGGCUAACUACGUG